UACGGAGGGAGCUAGCGUUGUUCGGAAUUACUGGGCGUAAAGCGCACGUAGGCGGCUAUUCAAGUCAGAGGUGAAAGCCCGGGGCUCAACCCCGGAACUGCCUUUGAAACUAGGUAGCUAGAAUCUUGGAGAGGUCAGUGGAAUUCCGAGUGUAGAGGUGAAAUUCGUAGAUAUUCGGAAGAACACCAGUGGCGAAGGCGACUUACUGGACACGUAUUGACGCUGAGGUGCGAAAGCGUGGGGAGCAAACAGG
rnacentral:rRNA from 1 species